rnacentral:lncRNA from 1 species
AAAAUUAAAAAUAUAAAGUUGGGUUUAACCUAGCAUUAACUUUCUUAUUGGCUUCUUAAUAUAAUGUUUUUGCUUUGCCAGAGAAAAAGGAAAAGAAAAUAUUCAAAAACAUUAAAAAUGUGAAAUUCCCAAAAAGCAUUUUUCAUUUUACUUUAAUUUAAAAUUAUUGUUAAUGCAUAAACUUGGCUAAAUUAGCUGAAUCUGUUAAUUUUUUUAAUUUUAUUUAGGGAAAUAGGCCUUUUUAAGAGGGUGUGUUUUUU